CGGAAGGGGCUAGCGUUGCUCGGAAUCACGUGGGCGUAAAGGGCGCGUAGGCGGAUCUUUAAGUCGGGGGUGAAAGCCCAGGGCUCAACCCUGGAAUUGCCUUCGAUACUGAAGAUCUCGAGACCGGAAGAGGUAAGUGGAACUGCGAGUGUAGAGGUGAAAUUCGUAGAUAUUCGCAAGAACACCAGUGGCGAAGGCGGCUUACUGGUCCGGUUCUGACGCUGAGGCGCGAAAGCGUGGGGAGCAAACAGGAUUAGAUACCCUGGUAGUCCACGCCGUAAACGAUGGAUGCUAGCCGUUGGCGAGCUUGCUCGUCAGUGGCGCAGCUAACGCUUUAAGCAUCCCGCCUGGGGAGUACGGUCGCAAGAUUA
rnacentral:rRNA from 1 species